AACGAACGCUGGCGGCAUGCCUAACACAUGCAAGUCGAACGAAGUCUUCGGACUUAGUGGCGCACGGGUGCGUAACGCGUGGGAAUCUGCCCUUGGGUACGGAAUAACUCAGAGAAAUUUGUGCUAAUACCGUAUAAUGUCUUCGGACCAAAGAUUUAUCGCCCAAGGAUGAGCCCGCGUAAGAUUAGCUAGUUGGUGGGGUAAAAGCCUACCAAGGCGACGAUCUUUAGCUGGUCUGAGAGGAUGAUCAGCCACACUGGGACUGAGACACGGCCCAGACUCCUACGCGAGGCAGCAGUGUGGAAUAUUGGACAAUGGGCGAAAGCCUGAUCCAGCCAUGCCGCGUGAGUGAUGAAGGCCCUAGGGUUGUAAAGCUCUUUUACCAGGGAUGAUAAUGACAGUACCUGGAGAAUAAGCUCCGGCUAACUCCGUG
rnacentral:rRNA from 1 species